rnacentral:lncRNA from 1 species
AGUCAAGAUUGUUUUAGAUGACUCAAUUUUUUGUGAAAUAAAAUAAGGUUGACGUUUUGGGCAAUUUCAAGAGUUUUGUAGUAGAUCUGUAAGUGAAAUUUUGUAAGUCAAUGGUUAUAGUUGUGUUUAAUAUGGAUUAUGAAUUUUAGCUUGAUCUAACUAUUGAAUUAAGGAUUAUUGAGGUUUAAGUGGGUUAAGAUCUUAGAAAGUAGGAUUUUAAGUCUAGUGAAGAUUUCUAAGAUUUCUUGCAAUCUAUUAGUU